UACGUAGGGUGCGAGCGUUAAUCGGAAUUACUGGGCGUAAAGCGUGCGUAGGUGGUUUGUUAAGUCCGCUGUGAAAGCCCUGGGCUCAACCUGGGAAUGGCGGUGGAUACUGACAAGCUAGAGUGCGGUAGAGGAGGGUGGAAUUCCCGGUGUAGCGGUGAAAUGCGUAGAGAUCGGGAGGAACAUCAGUGGCGAAGGCGGCCCUCUGGACCAGCACUGACGCUGAGGCACGAAAGCGUGGGGAGCAAACAGG
rnacentral:rRNA from 1 species